rnacentral:rRNA from 1 species
CGUUAUGGUGGGCGACUCUAGGGAGGACUGCCGGUGACAAACCGGAGGAAGGUGGGGAUGACGUCAAGUCAUCAUGGCCCUUACGGCCUGGGCUACACACGUGCUACAAUGGUCGGUACAAAGGGUUGCCAAGCCGCGAGGUGGAGCUAAUCCCAUAAAAACCGAUCGUAGUCCGGAUCGCAGUCUGCAACUCGACUGCGUGAAGUCGGAAUCGCUAGUAAUCGUGAAUCAGAAUGUCACGGUGAAUACGUUCCCGGGCCUU